rnacentral:rRNA from 1 species
CCUACGGGAGGCAGCAGUGAGGAAUAUUGGUCAAUGGGCGGAAGCCUGAACCAGCCAAGUAGCGUGCGGGAUGAAGGCCCUACGGGUCGUAAACCGCUUUUGCACGGGGAUAACACCCUCCACUUGUGGAGGUCUGCAGGUACCGUGCGAAUAAGGGCCGGCUAAUUCCGUGCCAGCAGCCGCGGUAAUACGGAAGGCCCGAGCGUUAUCCGGAUUCAUUGGGCUUAAAGGGAGCGUAGGCGGAAGGUUAAGUCAGCGGUAAAAUGUCGGUGCUCAACACCGGCCUGCCGUUGAAACUGGUAUUCUUGAGUGAGCGAGAGGUAUGCGGAAUGCGUGGUGUAGCGGUGAAAUGCAUAGAUAUCACGAAGAACUCCGAUUGCGAAGGCAGCAUGCCGGCGCUCAACUGACGCUGAGGCACGAAAGCGUGGGGAUCGAACAGGAUUAGAUACCCCUGUAGUC